rnacentral:misc_RNA from 1 species
UUUUUUACUGUUACUAUAGGUUUCGAUGGAUUUAACAACGAAAAGAAGUUGAAUUCUCUUGACGCUUUGCACGAAAUACUGCUUAUGCUACCAGUUACAGCUCAAGGAUAUUCAAUGGAAGUUCAGUUUGUAUCUGCUUACACCUGGUCCAAAAUCUAUGAAUGUUUUCCUCACAUCACCCCCACAUUGUUGGUAUGCCCUGCUCUGUUUGGUCCAGAACACAGAACCACACAUUCAAGUACUACAAGUCCACAACAUGAGAACAAGAUGUACAAGUCGAACCAACGGACUGGUGACAUGAAGAACCAUAGCCCCCACUGUGAUACGAUGACACAGUGUCAG